rnacentral:tRNA from 1 species
GUGAGCGUAGCUCAACGGGACAGAGCACCGGACUGUGGCUCCGGAGGUUGAGGGUUCAAGUCCCUCCGCUCACCCCA